GGAGCAACGCCGCGUGAGUGAUGAAGGUCUUCGGAUCGUAAAACUCUGUUAUUAGGGAAGAACAUAUGUGUAAGUAACUGUGCACAUCUUGACGGUACCUAAUCAGAAAGCCACGGCUAACUACGUGCCAGCAGCCGCGGUAAUACGUAGGUGGCAAGCGUUAUCCGGAAUUAUUGGGCGUAAAGCGCGCGUAGGCGGUUUUUUAAGUCUGAUGUGAAAGCCCACGGCUCAACCGUGGAGGGUCAUUGGAAACUGGAAAACUUGAGUGCAGAAGAGGAAAGUGGAAUUCCAUGUGUAGCGGUGAAAUGCGCAGAGAUAUGGAGGAACACCAGUGGCGAAGGCGACUUUCUGGUCUGUAACUGACGCUGAUGUGCGAAAGCGUGGGGAUCAAACAGGAUUAGAUACCCUGGUAGUCCACGCCGUAAACGA
rnacentral:rRNA from 1 species